UACGUGAGGCCCAAGCGUUAUUCGGAAUUACUGGGCUUAAAGAGUUUGUAGGCGGCGCAGCAAGUAGGGUGUGAAAGCCCUCGGCUCAACCGAGGAAUUGCGCUCUAAACUACUGUGCUUGAGGAAUGUAGAGGUGAGCGGAACUGAUGGUGGAGCGGUGAAAUGCGUUGAUAUCAUCAGGAACACCGGAGGCGAAGGCGGCUCACUGGGGAUUUUCUGACGCUGAGGAACGAAAGCCAGGGGAGCGAACGGG
rnacentral:rRNA from 1 species